UACGUAGGGUGCAAGCGUUAAUCGGAAUUACUGGGCGUAAAGCGUGCGUAGACGGUUGUCUAAGUCGGAUGUGAAAUCCCCGGGCUCAACCUGGGAAUUGCAUUCGAGACUGAAUAGCUAGGGUGCGGAAGAGGGAAGCGGAAUUUCCGGUGUAGCGGUGAAAUGCGUAGAUAUCGGAAGGAACAUCAGUGGCGAAGGCGGCUUCCUGGUCCAGCACCGACGUUCAGGCACGAAAGCGUGGGGAGCAAACAGG
rnacentral:rRNA from 1 species